rnacentral:rRNA from 1 species
UGGGGAAUUUUGGACGAAUUGGGCGAAAGCCUGAUCCAGCAAUGCCGCGUGUGUGAAGAAGGCCUUCGGGUUGUAAAGCACUUUUGUCCGGAAAGAAAUCCUUGGCUCUAAUACAGUCGGGGGAUGACGGUACCGGAAGAAUAAGCACCGGCUAACUACGUGCCAGCAGCCGCGGUAAUACGUAGGGUGCAAGCGUUAAUCGGAAUUACUGGGCGUAAAGCGUGCGCAGGCGGUUUGCUAAGACCGAUGUGAAAUCCCGGGCUCAACCUGGGAACUGCAUUUGUGACUGGCGGGCUAGAGUAUGGCAGAGGGGGGUAGAAUUCCACGUGUAGCAGUGAAAUGCGUAGAGAUGUGGAGGAAUACCGAUGGCGAAGGCAGCCCCCUGGGCCAAUACUGACGCUCAUGCACGAAAGCGUGGGGAGCAAACAGGAUUAGAUACCCUGGUAGUCCACGCCCU